GUACAGGCCGCGCACAAGCAGAGCACACACGCGGAUCCCCGGCCAGUCGACUUGCACGUCGCUGUACAAGCAAAGCAAAGCCACACUCCCUCUGUUGGCCCUGCCGGACGCGUCCAAGACCAUGCACACUUGGGGAUUGCACUUCUGAAACAAACUUUGCCAGGGAAGAACACAAGGUGCAGGGAUUCAUCUUCUCAAUCCAGUAAGGUUCCUUAAUUUCCCUGAAUUGUGUUUUUUGUGUUCAUGAUACCAUUUCAGGAAAUUCAAAAUUAUUUUUGGUUUAUGAGAUGGAGCUUCAGUGUAAAUUACAUGCAGAAAAAUUCAAAAGCAAAAUAUUUACUUGCAGAUUUACGUUUUCUGGUAGAAGCUUCGGCAUGGAGGUGACAGAGAAUUUACCAUAAUAAGGAUGAUGUAGGAGGAUAUCAAAAGAACCUUCGAGCAUAUUGUCGAGGAGGUUCAGCAAGGCAGAGGAAGAUGUUAAUCUUCUCUAUGUCUCCACUAGCAGCACAGAAGAUCUUGCGUGGAAAAAAGAUGAGUGUAGGUUUACUUCAUAGGUUCAUACAACAAACUUAUUUUGGAUAGUUUUUCUUAUGACACAGUUGUUCUUGCUUUAUAGAUUCAUAUAGCAUGCAUUCCUAAAUUUCAGUGGUAAAUAUUGCAGUGUCCAUGAUGUGCUAGACAGAUAGCAGAUUUAGAUUUUCAUGUUGUUAAGAUCAGAGGGGAAAUGUACAAGUCCUUUGUUUAUGAAUUUGUUUCCCUAGCGUCAGCUUUUACUCUAUAUCUGUUAACCAAUACACAAUCAACCAAAACAUCUUAGAUGGUUCCAAAUGGAGUACAUAGAACUAGCAGUUGUCAUCCCUUAUUGCGGUCUGCGGAUGUCUCCAUUGAUAUUCUCAGCUGACCAAUGUGGAUGGUCUCCUCGAGUGGUGGACGCGUGUGCUUGAGUCCUGGCCGACCAAGCUAAAGCCUCAAGCGCGCUCCCUCUACCAGUUGGUUCUUAGGUCGUUUUGGAUUGAGCGAAACAAUAGGAUCUUCAAAAACAAAUCUAGGUCGGAGGCUCUUCUUCUCGACGUGAUUGUCGAGGAAGCGGAUAGGUGGAAACUUGUGGGGUUUUUGUGAGGAGUUUCUUUGUCUUCUUUGGCCUUGGCCACGUGUGUUGUAAGUGUGGAGUUUGUAUUUGGUUCUUCCUCUGCCUAUAAAAAAGGCAUGCUUUCUCGCGUGUUCCUGAAUAAACUGACA